rnacentral:ncRNA from 1 species
CGCAGGAGAUGGCAUUCCUCCUUUAACCGCCCCCGUGCUGAUGAUGCCUACGUGA